UCAUUGGGCAGUUGGUUUGGAUGACUUG
rnacentral:piRNA from 1 species